rnacentral:rRNA from 1 species
UUGAACGCUGGCGGCAUGCUUUACCCCUGCAAGUCGAACGGUAACAGGCCUUCGGGUGCUGACGAGUGGCGAACGGGUGAGUAAUGCAUCGGAACGUACCCAGAGGUGGGGGAUAACGCAGCGAAAGCUGUGCUAAUACCGCAUGUGAUCUGAGGAUGAAAGCGGGGGACCGAGCAGCAAUGUUUGGCCUCGCGCCUUUGGAGCGGCCGAUGUCGGAUUAGCUAGUUGGUGGGGUAAAGGCCUACCAAGGCGACGAUCUGUAGCUGGUCUGAGAGGACGACCAGCCACACUGGGACUGAGACACGGCCCAGACUCCUACGGGAGGCAGCAGUGGGGAAUUUUGGACAAUGGGCGCAAGCCUGAUCCAGCAAUGCCGCGUGCGGGAAGAAGGCCUUCGGGUUGUAAACCGCUUUUGGCAGGAACGAAACGGUGUCCGCUAAUACCGGGCGCUAAUGACGGUACCUGCAGAAUAAGCACCGGCUAACUACGUG